GACGAACGCUGGCGGCGUGCUUAACACAUGCAAGUCGAACGGAAAGGCCCUGCUUUUGUGGGGUGCUCGAGUGGCGAACGGGUGAGUAACACGUGAGUAACCUGCCCUUGACUUUGGGAUAACUUCAGGAAAUUGGGGCUAAUACCGGAUAGGAGCUCCUGCUGCAUGGUGGGGGUUGGAAAGUUUCGGCGGUUGGGGAUGGACUCGCGGCUUAUCAGCUUGUUGGUGGGGUAGUGGCUUACCAAGGCUUUGACGGGUAGCCGGCCUGAGAGGGUGACCGGCCACAUUGGGACUGAGAUACGGCCCAGACUCCUACGGGAGGCAGCAGGGGGGAAUAUUGCACAAUGGGCGGAAGCCUGAUGCAGCAACGCCGCGUGCGGGAUGACGGCCUUCGGGUUGUAAACCGCUUUCGCCUGUGACGAAGCGUGAGUGACGGUAAUGGGUAAAGAAGCACCGGCUAACUACGUG
rnacentral:rRNA from 1 species